rnacentral:rRNA from 1 species
AUUGAACGCUGGCGGCAGGCCUAACACAUGCAAGUCGAACGCGUGGCGGACGGGUGAGUAAUGUCUGGGGAACUGCCCGUUGGAGGGGGAUAACUACUGGAAACGGUAGCUAAUACCGCAUACCCUCUGAUGUGCGCAGAUGGGAUUAGCUUGUGGGUGAGGUAACGGCUCACCUCGGCGACGAUCCCUAGCUGGUCUGAGAGGAUGACCAGCCACACUGGGACUGAGACACGGUCCAGACUCCUACGGGAGGCAGCAGUGGGGAAUAUUGCACAAUGGGCGCAAGCCUGAUGCAGCCAUGCCGCGUGUAUGAAGAAGGCCUUCGGGUUGUAAAGUACUUUCAGCGGGGAGGCGUUACCCGCAGAAGAAGCACCGGCUAACUCCGUGCCAGCAGCCGCGGUAAUAC